rnacentral:tRNA from 1 species
AGGGAUUUAGCUCAGUGGCAGUGCACCUGCUUCACAAGCAUGAGGGCCUGAGUUCAAUCCCUG